rnacentral:lncRNA from 1 species
UCUGCUCAUAAUCUCUCAUCCCUCAUUCCCAGUCACAUCUUUGCUUCAUUUCAGCAAUAGACAUUUGUUGCAAGUGUUUGGAUCCAUAAUGCUGGCAAGAUGUCUCAAAUCCCACUUCAUUCCCAUUGCCUAGAGUAUCGUAUUGUAUCCCAGAAACAGGUUCUGUAUGUGAGAACCCAUGCGGGUGUUUUUAGUCCCACAUGGGUUAUGCACUAAAUAGAUCUUUGAGUAUUUAUAUGGGUCCAAGGAACCCAAAUAAUACCUUAUGGCUAGUUCUU